rnacentral:rRNA from 1 species
GGAGUUAGCCGGUGCUUCUUCUGUGAGUGAUGUCCUUCCUGCCGGCUAUUAACCCGCAGGCCUUCUUCCUCACUGAAAGUGCUUUACAACCCGAAGGCCUUCUUCACACACGCGGCAUGGCUGGAUCAGGGUUGCCCCCAUUGUCCAAUAUUCCCCACUGCUGCCUCCCGUAGGAGUCUGGGCCGUGUCUCAGUCCCAGUGUGGCUGAUCAUCCUCUCAGACCAGCUACGGAUCGUCGCCUUGGUGAGCCGUUACCUCACCAACCAGCUAAUCCGACAUAGGCUCAUCCGAUAGCGCGAGGCCCGAAGGUCCCCCGCUUUCCCCAGUAGGGCGUAUGCGGUAUUAGCCUGGGUUUCCCCAGGUUAUCCCCCACUACCGGGCAGAUUCCUAUGCAUUACUCACCCGUCCGCCGCUCGCCACCAGGGAGCAAGCUCCCCGUGCUGCCGCUCGACUUGCAUGUGUUAGGCCUGCCGCCAGCGUUCAAUCUGAACCAAGAUCAAAUUCUGA